rnacentral:lncRNA from 1 species
GGCAUCUCGCUGUCUGCGCUGGGCACGGAGCGGCGCGCGCGCGCCCGCCUUUCCCUCGGCGGCCCCCUGCGGCUCGAACCCGGGCCGGCAGACAGGCCAUCCAUCAUCCGCCCUCCUCCCGCCCAGCGCCGCCGCCGCCGCGGCCAAUCCGGCGGCAGGUGGGGCCGCACCUGCGGGACAGCCCGCCGCUUCCCUCCGCUCUCUUCGCCGCGCCUCGCAUGCUGGCAGCGCCCUUAUGAGCCACUGCGUUCUCCAAGGCCAGAACGGGACAGUUGACGAUGUUCGUACUUCUCCAUGUUCUGAGACCAGUUUAAACAAAAACAAAAACCAGACAACAACCUUGCAAGGGAAAGAAUUCAGAGUAAAUAAACAGUCUUUUUCUGUGAAGUAAAAUAUUUCCCUAAGAUGGGGAAAUUGAGAUGAGAGCUCAUCCACAAGAUUACCCAUCAAUGAGCACCAAUAGCAACAAAAUCCACUAGAAGACUGGGAGCUUUUAAGUCAGGAAACUUACAUCAGUAUCAUCAUUCCAAGAAGCGGUAUCCAAGCUGUUUUAUCAAAAGUGUGCAUGGGAGGGAGCUCAUCAGAGAGAGAGAGACCUCUUCGCCACUGCCGUGAAGUUUCAAGUACAGAACUCUUCCUCGUUGUAAUCAAACUAUUUCUAUGAACAAUUCACUCAUCAUUGUGGGAAAGUCUAUUUUUCAUCUUAACACAAAGACAAUAACAAAAUUUGUGAUUUGGAUAAUCUGGAUCUGAUGUUCAUGCUCAAAAUGGAGGCAAUUCAUAAUACUGGUCUGAAGCAUUUAGUCAUUCAUUGAGCAGAUAUGUUAGAAGCAACAGGCAUGGGCUGUGUUUUUCUAGGCACUGUGAACACAGCAGUCAACAAAGUCAAAAACCUCUGCUCUUAAGGGACAUGAGUUGCCAAAUGGAAACACUAAGUUUUUCUAUUUAUGACCUAAAGCUAGUCAAAUAUCUCCAGAAGUAAGGUAGCUGAGUGAAGUGGUUCAUAAUCUUUCCAUGGGAGCCAAAUCCUCGGUGCUGUAACUCUUUUAGAUAAAUGAUAGUAAAAAUGAAUCAAAAGUUAAUUAGUUUGCACCUCAAUAAUCCAGUCUCCAUCACUGAUGGUCAUCGUGGAAUCUGCGUACAGAGGCAGCUGUAUACAGAUGACAGAGACAGCUCUAACACGUGACACAUUUAGGCACACAGAGGCGGAAGGACACAAAGUUCCUGGUUGAUUUCCCUUUGGUGUUUGUGGGGAAAUAUCAAGGUCAUAAAAAGUUUCUAAUAAUCCCUCCAGUCCUCCAUUCCAUUCCCUAAUUUGUAUGCAAUGGCAUUUAACAUUUUGACUUUGCUUAAAAUAAAAUGUGUGUUUGUUUUAAAAUAAA